rnacentral:lncRNA from 1 species
AGAGGCAGAGCAGCACCCAGCACCUCAAGUUCAGUACCCCAGCUCUCACUGCUCUGCUGAGGCUGUGAGGUCGUUUGUUAUCACCGUACAGUGGUGCAUCAUGCCUGACUCUGUCACUGUAUCUUCAUAAGGUCUGGGGCCAUUGAUGGCAUCAACAUCUUAAUUUCUCCAAUCUUGCAGAGGAAGACACUAUUCCACCUUGACAUGAUAGUGACUGAGGAACUACAGCAUUCUGAAAUGGGAUCCCAAAGAUCUGUUCUGCACCACAUUCCCCAGAGUACCUCAGUACAGGACCAGGUGGCUGUCUGCUUUGGGAGUGAUUUGGGGCCUGAGCCCCUUUGGAAACUGGUUCUGAUGUCACCCUGUGCAUAAGGCAGGGAAUUGUAGAAGAGGGCAUUGUCCCAGAAUCAGGGAACAGCCACUGAAACUGGAGUCUUGAAAUUGGUUCUCCAUGGCACAUGUGGAAGUCUUUGACGAGGCCAAGGUGUUUGCAUGGUCACUGUCAUAUGUUAUGACAGCUAGAAGUGUCCAGGAGUUAAGGGUUAUUAGAGGGUGUACGUUGCAAAGGCGUGGAGAUGAAGAAUAAAGGGGAAAUUGUUUUUGC